CGCGUGAUGAUCUCGCAACUGAGUGUACCUUUUUCGAUUCUGCGGGAACGUGAAACUAGCAACUCGCGGUAGCUGUCGCGUGUGCGGCGGCUGCGUCUGAUGG
rnacentral:misc_RNA from 1 species